GAUGAACGCUGCGGCGUGCCUAACACAUGCAAGUCGAGCGAUUUACUUCGGUAAAGAGCGGCGGACGGGUGAGUAACGCGUGGGUAACCUGCCCUGUACACACGGAUAACAUACCGAAAGGUAUGCUAAUACGAGAUAAUAUACUUUUUAUCGCAUGGUAGAAGUAUCAAAGCUCCGGCGGUACAGGAUGGACCCGCGUCUGAUUAGCUAGUUGGUAAGGUAACGGCUUACCAAGGCGACGAUCAGUAGCCGACCUGAGAGGGUGAUCGGCCACAUUGGAACUGAGACACGGUCCAAACUCCUACGGGAGGCAGCAGUGGGGAAUAUUGCACAAUGGGCGAAAGCCUGAUGCAGCAACGCCGCGUGAGCGAUGAAGGCCUUCGGGUCGUAAAGCUCUGUCCUCAAGGAAGAUAAUGACGGUACUUGAGGAGGAAGCCCCGGCUAACUACGUG
rnacentral:rRNA from 1 species